CAGUCGCCACGGGAAUACGUAGGUGGCAAGCGUUGUCCGGAAUUAUUGGGCGUAAAGCGCGCGCAGGUGGUUUAAUAAGUCUGAUGUGAAAGCCCACGGCUCAACCGUGGAGGGUCAUUGGAAACUGUUAAACUUGAGUGCAGGAGAGAAAAGUGGAAUUCCUAGUGUAGCGGUGAAAUGCGUAGAGAUUAGGAGGAACACCAGUGGCGAAGGCGGCUUUUUGGCCUGUAAUUGACACUGAGGCGCGAAAGCGUGGGGAGCAAACAGGAUUAGAUACCCCUGUAGUCCCUGUCUCUUAUAA
rnacentral:rRNA from 1 species